UGUCUCCUUCUCUGUCUCUAUCUCUUUCCCAAAAAGACACACACAAACACUCCGCACUCACCCAACGGUACUUCCAACGGAUUCCAAUUCCAAUCGGUUCGGUACGUGCCGUGAUCGCGUGUUCCAAACUAUCGAAAUUAUCCAAAUAAAAUCGAAAAGAAAAAAAUCGAAAUUUAAUCGACACGAAAACUACAAUAACAACAACAACAACAACAUCAUUACAACAGCUACUACAACAUCAGAAACACUUUGAGAUAGUAAAAAUUCGCAAACGGACGAGGAAAAGCAGCGCGAUCGACAGCGAAACGAACGUGAGGCGAGAAAGGAAGAGCAGGACGCCAUUAACUACAAGGAACUCGAAAGCACAACAUCAUCAUCCUCCACGCAGCAGACAUUUCCCGGCAGCGCAGUUGCAGCGUGCAGAACAGCGAC
rnacentral:misc_RNA from 1 species